UACAGAUACAGAUACAGAUAUUUCACAGCACACUCCCUAUAUCAGGGCUUUUCAGUGACUGGUUACAUUAUGAAUAGAUAGAUAGAACCGGACUGACGUGAAGCAGACCGAGGUAGACUUUGAGCUUACAAAUGGCGCUUGAGCAGCUGCCGCUUUUAGUCCAUACCUCAUUAAUGAUCUGCCUCCAAACCUAUGUGCCUAACCCACCCUGUCAACUUUCCCUGUGGGAGGAAACACGGAGUACCCGGAGAAAACCCACGACUUUCGGCAGAGCGUUGACUUUUACUCUUUUCACAUGAGGACUGGGUUCGAGUCACAUUGAGAAGGUGUCACUGAGAUUCGAACCUGCGACCUUAGAGGUGAAAGGCAAGUGCGCUAACCACUUGG
rnacentral:lncRNA from 1 species